rnacentral:rRNA from 1 species
AUUGGACGCUGGCGGCAGGCCUAACACAUGCAAGUCGAGCGGAUGAGUGGAGCUUGCUCCAUGAUUCAGCGGCGGACGGGUGAGUAAUGCCUAGGAAUCUGCCUGGUAGUGGGGGACAACGUUUCGAAAGGAACGCUAAUACCGCAUACGUCCUACGGGAGAAAGUGGGGGAUCUUCGGACCUCACGCUAUCAGAUGAGCCUAGGUCGGAUUAGCUAGUUGGUGAGGUAAAGGCUCACCAAGGCGACGAUCCGUAACUGGUCUGAGAGGAUGAUCAGUCACACGGGAACUGAGACACGGUCCAGACUCCUACGGGAGGCAGCAGUGGGGAAUAUUGGACAAUGGGCGAAAGCCUGAUCCAGCCAUGCCGCGUGUGUGAAGAAGGUCUUCGGAUUGUAAAGCACUUUAAGUUGGGAGGAAGGGCAGUAAGUUAAUACCUUGCUGUUUUGACGUUACCAACAGAAUAAGCACCGGCUAACUUCGUG